rnacentral:rRNA from 1 species
UUGUAGAAUCCCGUGAACCAUUGAGUCUUUGAAUGCAAAUUGUGCCCGAAGCCUUCUGGUCGAGGGCACGCCUGCCUAGGUGUC